rnacentral:rRNA from 1 species
UACGGGGGGAGCAAGCGUUGUUCGGAUUUACUGGGCGUAAAGGGCGCGUAGGCGGCCUACUAAGUCGGACGUGAAAUCCCUCGGCUCAACCGAGGAACUGCGUCCGAUACUGGCAGGCUGGAAUCCGGGAGAGGGAUGUGGAAUUCCAGGUGUAGCGGUGAAAUGCGUAGAUAUCUGGAGGAACACCGGUGGCGAAGGCGGCAUCCUGGACCGGUAUUGACGCUGAGGCGCGAAAGCCAGGGGAGCAAACGGG